rnacentral:RNase_P_RNA from 1 species
CGAGUUGGCCGGGCGGCCGCGGGUCUCAGUCUCGACUGGGAUUCGAGGAAAGUCCGGACUUCACAGAGCAGGGUGAUUGCCAACGGCAAUCCGAGGUGACUCGCGGGAAAGUGCCACAGAGAACAGACCGCCACUCUCGCCAGUGGUAAGGGUGAAACGGUGCGGUAAGAGCGCACCAGCAUUCCGGGUGACCGGAGUGGCUAGGCAAACCCCACCCGAAGCAAGGCCAAGAAGGCCGCAGCCUGGCUGCGGUCGCGCAGGCGUUCGAGGGCUGCUCGCCCGAGCCUGCGGGUAGGCCGCUUGAGGCACCCGGCGACGGUGUGUCCAGAUGGAUGGUCGCCGCCUCGCUGCCAGUCGUGGUGGUGAGGAACAGAAUCCGGCUUACAGGCCAACUCGUCCG